CUGCUGAACCAGCAGGUUGAACUGCUCCAUGCCGACUGUCGUUGUUGGAGGAGGAGGAGCCUGGAAAACUGGAGAUGAGGUCGGAGCUGGCGGAUCUUGCUGAGAUCUGGCCAUGGAGGCCAUAGAUCACCUGGUGGAAGCCUUUCGGGGAGCAUCAGGUUGGGAACUAGCCGGAGAAGAAGAAGAAGAUGUCAAAGAAGAUGAUCGGAGACAGUCCCGUUGAGUACUCCUUUAAGAACAAGGGUCCUGCGAAGACACAACCCCUUCUCUAGCGUCAGUUCUAUUUGUGCAGAAUUUCACCGAUGCUGGAGAAGCUGGAGUCGAGGGGAUCACAACCGUCGUUGGGACCUGCAAGGAAAGUCUAAACUAGAGUUGGGGG
rnacentral:lncRNA from 1 species